UUUUCUUUGUACUCUGCUAAUCAGGUUUACAUGAUUUCCUAUCAGACCUGAAUCUUGCAGAAUUGAAGCCACAGAAAAGAAUAUGCUGACUCUGCAGUGCUUGAAGGGGGUAAAAAUAAAGCAUUACCUAGAGGAAGCAGUCUUAGGAAAUUUUGCCUCUGACUCUUUUUUGUGUCAGUCCCACCAGGAGAGAGUGAAGCCAGUCUCCCUCUUUCCUGUUUUGUGUCUGGACUUCAAUGUUCAUUUCCUCAUUCUCUCUUUCUAGUAUCUUGCUCUUACAGAAUCUACAGGUCUUUCUUGAAGAAAUCUGUAGUCAUAAUUUUGUGCUCCAUUUUUAUUUAGGGGAGGAACAGGAAGAGAAGAGUGUGGCCUCCUAGAAAUCUAGCACUGGAGAAAGACUGGUCUUGAACUCCUGACCUCGUGAUCCUCAGCCUCCCAAAGUGCUGGGAUUACAGGAGUGAACCACCAAGCCCGGCCUGACCUCUUGGCUAUUACCAAAGUAUGUUUGCUUCUGAGGAAGCUGGAAGCUGCAGCCACAAUGUGCCUUUGCAGGGGAGCCUGAGAGCCACAGGUAAGGACAACUGAGUUAGACAGGAG
rnacentral:lncRNA from 10 species